GACGAACGCUGGCGGCGUGCCUAACACAUGCAAGUCGAGCGAUGAAAUCCUUCGGGAUGGAUUAGCGGCGGACGGGUGAGUAACACGUGGGUAACCUGCCUUGUAGAGGGGGAUAGCCUUCCGAAAGGAAGAUUAAUACCGCAUAACAUCUUUUAUCGCAUGGUAGAAAGAUCAAAGGAGCAAUCCGCUACAAGAUGGACCCGCGGCGCAUUAGCUAGUUGGUGAGGUAACGGCUCACCAAGGCGACGAUGCGUAGCCGACCUGAGAGGGUGAUCGGCCACAUUGGAACUGAGACACGGUCCAG
rnacentral:rRNA from 1 species